CUCGGGGAGAUGUAAUAGUGUUUGAUUUUAUGAAUGAAGCGAGUUUGCCUGUUGAAAGUGCGCUUGCGUUCAGCAAAAUAAUUGCAACAUUUUGCGCGAAUUGUGACCGAAUGUAAAAGUUUAACCAUGAAUUUUUUAAUAAAUAUAGCGAUAGAUAAUUUUGAAAGCAGUGAUAAUAACUUGCUGCUCAAGUACGGAAAAAAUAGAAAACAAAGUUUUUUAAGAAAGAGAAAGUGGUACCUCGCUGAAAUUUCAAAAAAGAGGAGAGUGACGAAGAUGUCAAAGGUUUGGAAAACAAUUCCAUUAUACCAUAAUGAUACAUAUUUCACGCAUUUUCUCAUGACUCGUGAAACAUUUGCAGUAAGUAUUGUUGUUUACUUUUUGGAAGUACCUGAUAAAUAAAUUAAUUUGUCUUAGGACAUGAAAAAUGCGUUAGAACCUUUUUGGUCAACAUCACGCGAGGAAUAUUCCUUGGAACAUUCCUUGCAUAUGACUCUUUGGAGGCUAAGCAAUAGUAGAGUCACAUAUCGCGAGCUUGCAGAUAGAUUUAUUGUUGGGCAAGGAACUGCCCACAAACUUUUCCUCAAAACAAUCAAGACAAUCUGCAAACUUAAAAACGAAAUAUGUUGGCCGUCAAUUUCACAGCAGAAAAAAAUAAUGGAAAACUUUCAAACAAGCCGGGUAAAUUCAUUUCCUUUUGUUGUCAGAUGCUUAGAUGGAACGCAUAUCAAAAUUAUGUAACACUCCUCAAACGGAUGCAAUUAGUUAUUAUGACCGUAAAGGAAAUUUUUCAGUUGUUAUGCAGGCCAUAUGCGACAGUAAGUUCUGUUUUUAGAUGUGUUCAUCGGAUACCCAGGUAGCUGUCAUGAUGCCAAUGUGUGGAAAAAUAGUCCAAUUUACAAAGGGAUCACAUCUGGAGAAAUAAAGCUUGCGAAAGAUGCAAUUAUUCUAGCCGAUUCAGCAUAUCCUGUUUCAAGAUACUUAACUGGUACUUAAUAGAGAUAACGGACACCUUUCCAGAGAGGAAAAACAAUUCAACUAUUAUAUGAGUUCAACCCGAGUAUUUAUUGAGCAAACAUUUGGAAUUUUCAGGGUUAAGUUCAAAAUAUUGAAUCAUAUUGAUAUGCGAAAUAUAGAAGACAUAUCAACUGUGAUAUUAUCUUGCGCAAUUUUACAUAAUUUUAUACUGCGAAGCAGU